rnacentral:misc_RNA from 1 species
CCUUAGCCCCGAUUGCAGCAUUUGUCUGAGCUCAUUUUGGAAGUUUCGGCGGCGGCUUUGCCGCCGCCGAAACUUCCAAAAUAGCGAGUGCGGAAAGCGGGAUAAAGC